rnacentral:pre_miRNA from 1 species
CUGUAGUAUUAGGUUAGUGCAAAAGUCAUCGCGGUUUUUGCCAUUGAAAGUAAUGGCAAAAACCGCGAUGACUUUUGCACCAACCUAAUAUAUUCA